ACAAGGCGGCUGAGAGGAUUAAGCGGUGGGGAUAGUGGGGACAGCAUGGGUGGGGCUAUCCGUCUGGCUGGCUCCAAGCCCAGGCUCCUUCCUGAGGAGUGCACGGAAGGCAAACGCUCGCACACGGACCGUCAGGACCCCUCUGCGCCCCCAGCAGAGACCGUUCAAGGACGAGGGCCCUGCUUCCUGGCCUGGGUCCCUUCUCGGACAGGGUGUUGACCGGCCCCCUGGGCUCCGUCUGCAGCCUUGACUCUCCGGGAAGAAGAGGCUGUGAUCCGCUGGACUGACCUGGGGUCACAGGUCAGAGGAUCUGAUUCCUCAGCAAAUCUGGGGAGACAGGGGAGGAUCCCUCAGAAUGAAGGAUGUGAACAACUCGCACCAGCAGAAGUGAUGAACCGCGCAGGGAAGAAGUUGCCAGAACAGUGGCAUGGCAGCCCCGGGCAGGAGGCGGGGCUGCGGGGACGGCCCUCGGGCUCUGCGUGCUGAGACACCCGGCGCCCGGCAGCCGUUACCCCACGCUCGCUUUGUAAUGACUCAUCAAGCCCCACGUCUGUGCUCCGAUUUAUCCUGCACACGGCAUCAUUCAGGAGGCCGGGGCCCUUCGCCGCGGGGACCAGAGGCUCCCGGCGUCCCUCGGAAGGGAUGGGAAGAGCGGCUCACAGCCGGAUCCGUAGCACUGCCUCGGGUGUAGACACAGCAUCUGGACCUUGGGCGGAUGACUUCUGCCCUCCGCUGCCCACCUCUGCCGAGCUGGGGCCCUCCUAGUCAGGCCAGCUUCCUUGCCCCCCGGACCCCACUGUGACCCAAAGGAGGACUUGGAAGACACCACGCGGCCCGGAGAGGCUGGCAGUGGGGUUGGUCAUCCUGGCUGCCACCCCACCCACCUGCGCAUCCCGUGCUGACUUGUGGCCACACUGCGCUCCCCCUGCUUUGGCUGCCAGAGAAAACACAGGACUCGGGGGGGUGGACCGUCCCGGCAAACGAUCCGGGGCCCACGUGGGCUCCGGGAUGCUACUCACUGUCAGCCUGAAGUUCCCUUCGCGCUGGUCUGGGGCGGCUGUGACCACCCCGUGUGGCUGGUUCCCGGGGCCCCGGCCGAGGGUCCGAGAAGCCGUGUUCUUCUCCACCCUCCUUUGGGCCACCUGCGCCGUCCUGUGGGGAGAGGUGUUUGCACAGACGGCAGAUCACUUAAUACGGCCGAUGGUUUUGCUGAAGAUGUGAGUAACUGAAACUAAGACUUCAGUUACUUGAAAGAGGAAAUGUGUUCCACAGACCCCACAGCCCGGCCGGGUGCCCCCUGUUCAUAAAAACUGAAUGUCGAUGGCGUCCAGGAGCCGGCGACCUCGGAGGAGGGUAUCGGCUGGCAGGAUGAGACCUGAGAUCGAGUGUCUCGGCCGUGAAACGUUUAGGCACGUGGCCGCCCGUGCAUCAGAGGGGCCGGGCGCCUCCACUGCUCUGGGCUGCGGGGCGUCCCAGCCUGGGAGGCGGGUCACAGCGGCCAUGCCUUCCACCCACCUCUUGUCGGGCUUCCCUUCCCCCACUGGUUGUGACAACCAAGAAUGUCCCCAGAUGGUGCCAGAUGUCUCCUGAGGGCACCGCAGAGCCUAGCGACAUACAGGCCAGCGGGCGGCGGGGGACGACACACCCCGCUCCGUGCCUGAGACGGCAGAGACCCCGCUGCACACGCGUCUGGGGAGGCCACUUUCGCUGGGCCUGGGGUGUUCCCUCCAAGGCCAGACCGAGCCACGCUGUCCUUGGCAGUGGGACCCUUCCGCGGGCCAGCCGGGAGCCCCCAGGAGUAGCCCAGCAGAAAUGCCGUCUUUGGGGCCUAAACACCAAAGGAGGCACAGCCCGACGGCCAGCCCGGUUCCAACUCCAGGUUCCAACUGCAGGGGAUGCGGGUUCGAUCCUUGGUCGAGGAACAAAGAUCCCACACGCCUCGCGGCGCGGCCCCCAAAAAAUAUGUAUCAGGGCUGCCUGUGGUGGGCUGAAUGGCGGCCCCAGAAGGCAUCAGGUCCCUCAUGCCAGAACCUGUGAAUGUUACUUCAUAUUGUAAAGUGGUGUCCCUCAGGGGACUGCCUACCCGUCCAGGGCAGGGCCAGCCAUGAGCAGCAUGGGCCUGUCCUCAGGUCUGGGAGGGGAGGUGGGUGAGGAGGCCAGGUCCUAUCCUCUGGCCUGUCUCCUGUC